CUUUCAAGCGAAAAGAGGGUUUUCCCCCUCGAAAUUGUACAAAAUAAAUACUGUAAACGACAAAACACAUGAAUUUAUAAUGAUGGGCAUUAUCCUCUUUCGACGUUUGGAGUGUUUUAUGUAUUUGUAUCAGAUCCUUUGUUCCUUUGUAACGAGAUAAAUGUACGUUAUAUACAGUUUUAUAAAAGGGGAGUAGGAUCUCAGGAUGCGAUAGACUGUGAAACGUGAUAUUUUUGUAUGCCUCGAAAGUAAGCUGCAUUUAUUGGACGCCCAGUUGCCUAAUUGUAUUUCAUCAUGGCACACAUCUCAAUAAAAGGGGCUCGUAAGUUCUGCGUGCUGUGCUGAUGCGGCCGUGAAACGGAUUCAAAAAACGUCAAGUGGCGAAAAUAUAGUGGCCUUAUCGGUAACUAAAUAUAUUUUCGAAGAGUUUGGGUUUGAAACCGUCGGAUCGUAUGGUCUGAUAGGCGACUGGUUGACGGGUUCUCGUAGCCAAAACGCUUCGGCAAAGGGUUGGCAAGUUGGUUAGUUGGUCGACAGCGAUGGGGACGAAUUUUUUGGCGCUUUUUAGUUUAAUAAGUGGUACGGUUCCUACAAAUGUGUCCCUGGCCCUUUAGCUUGGUAAAAAUGUCAGCUUCAGAACUGCCGUAGAUAAGUUUCUUUGUCUUCCAACGUGAAUCACUUAUAAAAACUAAUAGCCAAGAAUGUCGUUCUGAUCAAAUUAUUUUAUUGUGUUCCAAUUGUUUUUAGUCUUGGUACAACGGCAUGUGUGUGUGGCAGGUGCGUUCAAGUUAAAUGAUAUCAAAUUAUUAAUUUAUUCAUAACCUGAAGAUAAUCAGCAAAAAAUGUCCCAUUUCUUAAGGAACCAAUCAAAUCUCCAUGCAAUGUUCACGUUUCUUAUUCCUUAAAAAUUGUUCAUGUUCAAAAACACACAUACAAAUAUAUUUUUUUGGAAUUUAAAAAAUCAA